UACGUAGGGUGCGAGCGUUAAUCGGAAUUACUGGGCGUAAAGCGCGCGCAGGCGGUCUUCCAAGUCAGUGGUGAAAGCCCGGAGCUCAACUCCGGAACUGCCAUUGAAACUGUUGGACUUGAGUACGAGAGAGGUGAGUGGAAUUCCCAGUGUAGAGGUGAAAUUCGUAGAUAUUGGGAAGAACACCGGUGGCGAAGGCGGCUCACUGGCUCGUAACUGACGCUCAGGCGCGACAGCGUGGGGAUCAAACAGG
rnacentral:rRNA from 1 species